UAUAGUAGUUUUUCUAGCUAGGGAUAGUAGCUUUUGUAGCUGGCGGUAGUAGCUUUUCUUGCUGGCGAUAGUAGCUUUUGUAGUCGGUGGUGGUAGUAGCUUUUCUAGUCGGUGGUAGUAGUUUUUGUUGCUAGCGGUAGUAGCUUUUGUUGCUGGGAGUAGUAGCUUUUCUAGUCGGUGGUAGUAGCUUUUCUAGCUGGGGAUAGUAGUUUUUCUUGCUGGCGGUAGUAGCUUUUGUAGUCGGUGGUAGUAGUUUUUCUAGUCGGUGGUAGUAGUUUUUGUAGCUAGGGAUAGUAGCUUUUGUUAGUGGCGGUAGUAGCUUUCAUAACCAUCGAAAACCUCAUCGAAAUUCGGCCGGAGACAUUGCCGGAGGUCGGCCGGAGUACGUCGGAGAUCUUGCCGGAGGUCUGUCAGAGACUUUUCCGGGGAGAAGGGUGGUUGUUAACUUUUUACAGUAGUGGUAUUUUUGUAAAUAUAAAAGAGAAAAUCUAAUUUUUUUGUUGGAUGGCAGUCUGUAAUUAUGUUGAACUUCAAUACCUAAACCAAAACCUUAUUUAGGCUUGGGUGAACUUAUGUGGGUAAAAAUGUUAAGAUGGACUUAUGUGGGAUAAAAUGUCUCAAAAUGGACUUAUGUGUAAUUGGCCCUAAAUUAAACUACUAAUUGUCACAUCCCGACUCUUAUAUUUUUACCUUAUUUACUAGCGUGAUUAUAAUAAGAAUUUUACCGUCUUGAUCAUGAGUAAAUAGUUUAAUUGGUCCCUAGAGGGGUUUCGGGGACGAUUAUGUGCGGAGGAUUAUUCGUAUGAGGAAAAUACGACGACGGUAAAAAUGGUAAUUUUAGCUAGUAAAAGGUAAUUUUUAUUCGGGUAUUAUUUUUUCGGGGUGUUUUUAUUUUGGAAGUUUGGGUUAAAAAGGGUCGGCUGGGCCGAGCCCAACCCAUUUCUUUCUUCCUUCUCUUCUCCCUCUCUCCCGAUUCUCUCUCCUCCCACCCGAUUUUCUUCUCUCUACACCCAGCAGAAUUCCGGCCGUCCUCCCGCCGCCGUCCGACCUCCGUUCGCCGCCGGACCGGUCCCGUUCGGUCGGUCUCCCUCCCAGCAACAUUUCUAGACCGGUGAGAGGAGCCCUAGCGCCGCCGUGAGAGAGCGGUGCCGCCCGAAAGCAAGGGCUGCCCCGAGCUUCCCUUCGCCGGAACUUCCUCCUCCGGCCACCAAUCCGGGCAAGCUUGGUAUGGUUUUGUAGCCCUCCAACCCAGCAACCUUGCCCUAAAAGGACUCACUCCCUCUUGAGCUAGGUAAGGAGAAAUUUGAGGUGGAAGUUUUAUGGUGUUUUUGAUGUUUUUAGUCGAUUGCCCUAGUUAGGCUUGGAAUUGGUGUUUGUGCUAGUUAUGAAAGUUGUAGAGCUUGAUGAGAGGAAGAUGCUGUUAAAAUUUCAUAGGUUUUGGAGGUCGCCGGAAUUGACCUCCGGCCGCCGCUGCCGGCGGCGCCGCCGCCGGUUGGUAGAUUUUAAUGUUGUUAAAUUUGGAAUAUUAAGGGGAGUUUAUUGAAGUGAGUUAUGGAAUUUUUGGAUGAGUUUUGGAUAGGUUUAUGAAUUUCCGAAGUGUGGUAUUUUUGGCGGGUAAUUAAUGUAGAAUCCGGCCGUUGGAUUUAAGUCGUAUUUUGGAGAGGUUGUAUUUACGACUAUUGAGUAUGAUAUUUAAGUUCGGAUCGUUCCGAUGUAAGAAUAUCGAAGUUAGGCAAUGAUGAGCGUAAUUAUGGCUCUCGGGUAAUUUUGCCUAUUUUGAUUAAAUAUUGGAUUAUUGGAUGGGAAAUUAAUAUUUUAUUUGGAACAGGACGUGAGGAGGCUCGAGCAGACGAGACCCCAGAUCGACAGCAGGCUUAGGCCUAAUUUGUGAGUGGACGUUUAUUUUAAAUAAAUGCAUGCUAAAGUUCACGAUUGAAUAAUUAAUGUCGUGGAGUAUUUUGACGUCAUUUUAAUUUUUGACGAUUUUUAUUUCUCUUGGAGAGAGUUACCGAAAAUGGGAUUUUCGGUAAAUAUAAAUAUGUAUAUAUGAGAGAGUAUGUAUUAAAAUGCUAGCUAGCCAUAUGUGUCUGUCCACCUUAAUGGCGUAGCAUAUAGCCGCAUUAUGGUGUGACGUGAGCGUUGGACGUAAGCGUAGUAGCCCUAUUUGAGUGUUUAAUUCAUAUAGGGGGUAUGGACACAUAUUUAUACACCCGUCUGUCCACCUUGAUGNNNNNNNNNNNNNNNNNNNNGGCUCGAUUAUUUUAUGAGAUUAAAAAGUUUUUAUCGCUUUGCGGCAUGCAUUCGAUUUUUCCUUAGAAAUUAAUUUGGGGAAACAUAAAUAUUUUAUUUAUUAUUUUAUUUUUGUCCACUCACUCUAACGUUAUUAAAUGUUUUCCCCUGGGCCCUUCGUUUUAAAUUGCCCAGUCUGCAGAGUUCGGGUUGGAUCUAGUAGGAGACGAGGCAUAGUCACCCGCAUUUCUGCCAGUUUUCGCCAGUAGGUUACCUGUUCAACCUACUCGUGUUUUCUUGCUUCCGCUUGUGUUUAGUAGCUCUGAAUACUUUAGAAUUUUUGUAUAUUAUGCGAUGUUCAGAAGUGAUAAAUUAAGAGUGUAAUUUGAAAUUUUCGAGUUAGGGUUGUCCAUCUGCAAGGGAGAUUUUCUUAAUUUUUUCAGUAAAUUUUCCUUGGAGGUGGUCCCCGCACGACUUACUCUGGGUUUCAGGGUGAAAUUCGGGGUGGGUCGUGUCACUAAUACCACAUUAUCUAUCUCUUCACAUAUAUAAUGCUUGACCCAAAACUCCCAAAGAUAAACUUCAAACAGAUUUAUAAUUAGAUCUACUUUUUCGUUUUUUCUUUUCUUUUCAAAUCAGCUUUUAUCUAAUUUUUAUUGUGUUUAGUAAACUAAAUAAUAAAAGCAGCGUUUUUUGAAAAUGCUCACAAUUGACAAGAACUAAGUGGAAGCAGAUUUUAGCUAGAAACAGUCUUGAGGUUGCUUUUAGAAGCUUGAGGUUGUUUUUAGAAGCUGUUGUCAAUAAAAACACAGAAAAAUGGUAUUUUAUGUCAUGGUGAUAACGUGUUACAGGAUAAAUAAAUUGAGAUAGAGAAAUUGGGGAGAAUAUCGUUUUAUUUCAUUCAUAGAAUAAACCUCUACGUAUAGAGGAUACAAUACAUAAGGAAAGUAUAUAUAUUCCUAUUACAAUAUGAUAUCGAAUCAUAUAUUGAUUCUAUUUUGACUAAGACACACACAAUAAAUCUAUUUUCCUUAAACAUUAACAACAAUUUUAAUAGUAACAUUUAUCAAAUGGAAAAUUGUCUUAAUUCACAAUACAACAUAAAC
rnacentral:lncRNA from 1 species